CCUACGGGAGGCAGCAGUGGGGAAUUUUCCGCAAUGGGCGAAAGCCUGACGGAGCAAUACCGCGUGAGGGAGGAAGGCUCUUGGGUUGUAAACCUCUUUUUUCAGGGAAGAUAAUGACGGUACCUGAGGAAUAAGCAUCGGCUAACUCCGUGCCAGCAGCCGCGGUAAUACGGAGGAUGCAAGCGUUAUCCGGAAUGAUUGGGCGUAAAGCGUCCGCAGGUGGUUUUAAAAGUCUGUUGUUAAAGCGUGAGGCUUAACCUCAUAAGGGCAAUGGAAACUGUAAGACUAGAGUACGUUCGGGGCAAGGGGAAUUCCCAGUGUAGCGGUGAAAUGCGUAGAGAUUGGGAAGAACACCGGUGGCGAAAGCGCCUUGCUAGGCCGUAACUGACACUGAGGGACGAAAGCUAGGGGAGCGAAUGGGAUUAGAUACCCCAGUAGUCCUAGCCGUAAACGAUGGAUACUAGGCGUUGUCUGUAUCGACCCGGACAGUGCCGUAGCUAACGCGUUAAGUAUCCCGCCUGGGGAGUACGCACGCAGUAGUGAACUACAAUAGAAGUUAGUACGGACGUGAGACGUCGCCGAACGGACGACCGACGAGGGGAAGUUAGG
rnacentral:rRNA from 1 species